UCCUACGGGAGGCAGCAGUAGGGAAUCUUCCGCAAUGGACGCAAGUCUGACGGAGCAACCGCGUGAGUGAAGAAGGUCUUCGGAUAGAGAAGAACAGCGCAUAGAGUAACUGUUAUGCGUGUGACGGUAUCUAACCAGAAAGCCACGGCUAACUACGUGCCAGCAGCCGCGGUAAUACGUAGGUGGCGAGCGUUGUCCGGAUUUAUUGGGCGUAAAGGGAGAAGUCUGAUGUGAAAGCCCACGGCUCAACCGUGGGGAAUUCCAUGUGUAGCGGUGAAAUCGUAGAUAUAUGGAGGAACACCAGUGGCGAAGGCGGCUAGGCUCGAAAGCGUGGGGAGCAAACAGGAUUAGAUACCCUGGUAGUCCACGCCGUAAACGAUGAGUGCUAAGUGUUGGAGGGUUCCACCCUUCAGUGCUGGAGUUAACGCAUCCGCCUGGGGAGUACGGCCGCAAGGCUGAAACUCAAAGGAAUUGACGG
rnacentral:rRNA from 1 species